rnacentral:rRNA from 1 species
UACGUAGGGGGCAAGCGUUGUCCGGAUUUACUGGGCGUAAAGAGCGUGUAGGCGGCCACGCAGGUCCGUUGUGAAAACUGGAGGCUCAACCUCCAGCUGUCGGCGGAAACCAUCUGGCUAGAGUCCGGAAGAGGAGAAUGGAAUUCCCGGUGUAGCGGUGAAAUGCGCAGAUAUCGGGAAGAACACCCGUGGCGAAGGCGGUUCUCUGGGACGGUACUGACGCUGAGACGCGAAAGCGUGGGGAGCGAACAGG